rnacentral:rRNA from 1 species
AUGCGGUGCUUGAUAAGGCAAGUCGAACGGGUUGGCUAGGGGCCGAAGCCUUGGAAGGGGCGGAAGAUGAGAAAUCGUUGGAAGUCUUGGAAGGGGUAGAGGUCUUGGUGCUGGCCAGUGGCAAACGGGUGCGUAACACGUGGGUUACCUACCUCGGAGUGGGGAAUAACGAUCCGAAAGGGUCGCUAAUACCGCAUACGCUCGCAAGAGGAAAGCUCGCAAGAGCGCUCGGAGAGGGGCCUGCGUCCCAUCAGGUAGUUGGUGAGGUAAGGGCUCACCAAGCCGAUGACGGGUAGCUGGUCUGAGAGGACGAUCAGCCACACUGGCACUGCGACACGGGCCAGACUCCUGCGGGAGGCAGCAGUGAGGAAUAUUGCACAAUGGGCGAAAGCCUGACGCAGCAACGCCGCGUGCGGGAUGAAGGCCUUCGGGUCGUAAACCGCUUUUCGGGGGGACGAGUGAGGACGGUACCCCUGGAAUCAGUCUCGGCUAACUACGUGCCAGCAGCCGCGGUAAAACGUAGGAGGCGAGCGUUAUCCGGAUUCACUGGGCGUAAAGCGCAUGUAGGGGGUUCGUCAAGUCGCGUGUGAAAGCCUCUGGCUUAACUGGGGGAGGUCACGCGAAACUGGCGGACUUGAGGGCCGGAGAGGAAGGUGGAAUUCCCGGUGUAGCGGUGGAAUGCGUAGAGAUCGGGAGGAACACCAGUGGCGAACGCGGCUCUCUGGCCUGACCCUGACGCUGAGAGGCGAAAGCUAGGGGAGCGAACGGGAUUAGAUACCCCGGUAGUCCUAGCUGUAAACGUUGGGUACUGGGUAUUGGGGGGGCAACAAACCCUCAGUGCCGAG